UCCAGACUCCUACGGGAGGCAGCAGUGGGGAAUAUUGGGCAAUGGACGCAAGUCUGACCCAGCAACGCCGCGUGAAGGAAGAAGGCUUUCGGGUUGUAAACUUCUUUUAGGGGGAAGAGCAGAAGACGGUACCCCUUGAAUAAGCCACGGCUAACUACGUGCCAGCAGCCGCGGCAAUACGUAGGUGGCAAGCGUUGUCCGGAUUUACUGGGUGUAAAGGGCGUGCAGCCGGAGAGACAAGUCAGAUGUGAAAUCCGCAGGCUCAACCUGCGAACUGCAUUUGAAACUGUUUCCCUUGAGUAUCGGAGAGGUCAUCGGAAUUCCUAGUGUAGCGGUGAAAUGCGUAGAUAUUAGGAGGAACACCAGUGGCGAAGGCGGUCUGCUGGACAGCAACUGACGCUGAGGCGCUAAAGCGUGGGGAGCAAACAGGAUUAGAUACCCCAGUAAA
rnacentral:rRNA from 1 species